UCGCUGAGUAGUGGAAGGAAUCACCGCUUCGGGGUUAAAGCCCUAGAUCAAUCGAGAACAGGGUGUCUCUGAGUUCUGCAGGCACGGCUUGGUCAU
rnacentral:tRNA from 2 species